AGUAACAUUUCUAAGCUCCUUCCUCUGUACUCUUGGCUAUACUCCCUGCAGCUUCUAUGAUUGAAGGAACACACUUCAAGAUGAGCUCAGGUGUCCCAGAUCAUCACAACCGCGAUUACCCCGAUGCCCAACAACACUGCUAAGAACUUGUAGUUGGGGGUGUCAAAGGGAACUGUCUUCUGACUAGUGUAUCCCUUAGACAGUAGAUGGUUUAUUGAGACAUAGAUGAAGAUCCCACAUGCUAGCCCCAUUGAUAUGGCGAAUAUCCAGUCAGCCACAGCGCCCUGAGUAGUCGCAUCUAUGACAAUACCGGUGGCCACACCAAUUGGGCUAGAAAUGGCAAAUGCAAAGGCAUAGGCUGCACAGGAGAGGAGGGGUCUGUCUGGAAUCAUCCGGAGGAGAGCUAUUCCCAUUGCAAUGGCUGCGAAUAUCUUGUGGAGACAGACUGUCCAUAGAGCUCUCCAAGCAUCGGCUUUGGUCUCUGCAACUCCAAUUGCGAUGCCCUCGAAAACAGAGUGGAAACACAGUGCAAAGAUGAGUAAUAUGCUGUCCCCGAGCGAUGUGGCAGUUUUCAGAGGGGAAUUUACGGAGUGGACUUCUUUGCCAUCUUUGCCAGUCUGAACCUGUCAAGUGAACGUAAUGAGUAUUCAUUCAGCUGUCUCUGGCAUUUUAAAGCAAUUUUUCUUGAAUCUUCUAAGAAGCCAUAGAGGAUCAAGGUUUCCCUGUUAUCUCACCUGAGCCAAAGAAUGUGAAUGUCCGCCAUUGCUACAGCUUUUUCCUUGCAUAUUUGCUGUAACAAAGGAAUGACAUUGGAUUUGGAAUAAAAAAAAUAUGGGAAUGGAAGGGAAUCACAAAAUCCAAGUCAGUUCAUGAUAAUGAAUUUUUUUAUUCCUAUUCCAAUUCUAAAAAAACUAUCCAAAUAAAUUAAUGAACAGGAAGUUGAAUGAAUAUCUCGUUCUCUGUUCUAGAAUUCCAAACAUGAGUUUCAUUUAAUUUAUUGAGGCCUAAAGAGGAAAAAAUCAUUACUUCCAACCACUAAAUCACACUGAGUAUCCACAUCUUCCUUCUCUUAUUUUCCUCUAUUUAUUGAGUAGACAAAGAUAGUAAAAAGAAAAAGAAAAGAAAUGUUAGUUAAACCGCCAAAUCAAUACUCUGUAAAUUAAAUUGAGUUUUUCAUAUGUUGGUUGUUAGUUUUUUCUUCUUCUAAGGCAAGAUAAAAUAAAUAAUAAAUAAAUAAUUCAAAGGGCUCAAAGAACCAACCUUGAAGCUCGACAUCUCCCUCACCACCACUCGCCCCCUUUCCAUACACAUAGGAAACCAAACAAUCGGCGAACAUCGUCAUCAAAUACCCCGCACACGCCAGCAUGAACGCGAACGGAUACUCCACGCUCGUCAAAUCCCCAAACGUCUCAUUCGAGUCGCUCAGAAAAUGCAUCAUCGCCGUCCCUAGAAACACUCCGCCGGCGAACUGCGUUCCCAGCACUAGAAAAGUCUCGUUCCACUUCAAGAAGCAAGGCGACACGCCGCCGAUGAACGUCCCGAAAAACACCAGAAUCAGACAGUAGAUCUUCACCAGAAUCAGUGCAUUCGCCCUCAGGUUAACGCUCUCCGACGAUGACGACUCAUCAUUAGCAGCAUGAUCGCCGCCGUGGGAGACGGCGGCGAGGAUGAGGAGGAGAAGAGAAAGGGAGAGGAGAGCGCGCGGCAUUGGAAAUGGAGGGAUGAAGAAGAAGGAAGCAUUUGAGUAAGGCUGCGGGAUUUCAAUAUAUAUAUAUAUAUAUAUAUAUAUAUAUGAGAUGGUUGGUUGGAAUUGUACUUCCACAGAAACGAAUGUGAGAGAGAGUGAGUGCUGUACAGUGCAGACAUGAAGGUUGCUUCGAUAGCGCUUGUUUCACUAUCAAGCUUUUCCCGUGCCUUUUGGGGAGCGGCUGGUAUUUCACUCUCUCCUCAUGGCGCGUGAGAAGGGAUCUUCACAGAUCUUUUUAUAAAAAGGAUUUAAUUUAAAAAAAAUAUAUUCUUGGGACUUGUUUGUCGUUUCUUUUGCAAACUACUAAGGGUAUGUUCGUAAUUAUUUUAAAAAAUAAUGUUAAAAAAAUGAUUUUUAAUAAUAAUUUUUAAAAAUUAUUUUCUGAUUCUAAAAUGGUUUUAAUAUGUUUUUAAUAUUUUUAAACAUAUUUUAAAAAUAAUUUUUAUAUCUAGCAUUUUAUUUUUAAUUAUUUUACGUGUUUAUAUAAUUAUUUUUUAAAAAAAAUUCAAAAAAUAAAUAAAAAUAAUAGAAAACAAUUAAAAUAUAUUAUCUAAAAACAUCUUAUUUUUUGUUUAUAAAAAUAAAAAACAAAAAACAGUUUUUGAUUUUCAAACCUAUUUUCUAUAUUUUUUUGUUUUUAUGGAGAACAAAAAAUAUUCUAAAAAUAGUUUCCAAACGGACACUAAUAUUAUACUUUAUUUUUAUUUAAAAUAUUUUUAUUGUCUUUUUUGGACAUUUUAAAUACGCAUGAUAGUUCAUUAUUUUAUGUAUUAGGUGGUAUAUUGAAUUUAAAAAGGAUUCUAAAUUAUUUUUCUUAGACUUGAAAGUGAAUUAUUUCAAAAUAUAUGAUAAAAUUUGCAUUAUUGGAUGAUUUAAAUAGUUUUGAUAUCCUUUUUGGACAUUUUAAAUAUCUAUGAUUGUCCAUUAUUUUAUGUAUUAGGUUGUAUAUUGAAUUUAAAAAUGAUUGUAAAUUAUUUUUCUUAGUCAUGAAAGUGAAUAUGUUGUAAAUGUAUGAUAAAAUUUGGAUCAUUGCAUGAUUUAAAUAGUUUUAUUGUCCUUUUUAGACAUUUUAGAUAUGUAUGAUUGUCUAUUAACUUAUAUUUUAUGUCUCUUUCUUCAUAUAUUCAAUUUAAAAUGAUUAUAAACUAUUUUUCUUAACCUUGGAAGGGACGACGUUACACAACAUACGAAUCACUAGAUGAAAAUACAAAUAAUAAAAUCAAAUUAAAAGAGUGUUUGAUAAAUCAAUUUAUUGAUUUUAUAUGACUUAAUAACUUAAUUUAAAUUAUUAAAUAUGUUAGAAAAAUUAGGCUAAUCUAACCUAUGGUAAUCACUUUAAAGGCGGGGUGAAUAGGGUGAUGGUAUCUUUUUGUAAAUUUAAAUUAUGUGAAUGUAAGAGAUAAUUAUAUGUAAAUAUAUAAUAAAACAAUAUAAAAACAAUUGCAUAUAAAUUAAGAGAACAUGGAAGAGAGAAUGCAAACAUAAGAUUUUUAGUGGUUCGACGCAAUCCGACAUACGUCCACUCUCUUUUAACUUCAAUCCCAAGCUUGAGGUUCCACUAUUUCAAGGCUUCCAAAUCAAGCCUUCAAGCAAUAUAAUUGGAUUAAGGUUUCAAUCCACCAUCUUGAACAUUUGGCUCCAAACACCCUUUACAAUCCUCAAGAGAUACCCCACUCUUGAACAACCUCUUAAGUGAUACCCCACACUUGAGAAUCCCUAAGUGAUACCUCAUACUUAGAUUCUUUCUCUUAAAGAUAUACAAAUAAUUUCACAAAAUCCUAGUACAAAACUUUAGGCUUAAAUGAUACAAGAAAAUUAGGAUUAAAUGGUUCACUAAUGAUAUGCAAGUUUUAUAACAUUAGUGCACUAAAAAAAACUCUCUCAUGGCUCAAAUAUAUUUAAGAAAGGUUAAACUCAUAAAACAAUGAAGAUUGAAGCCUUUUUAUAGAAGAAAAAUACCAAACUAGCCGUUGGGGGUUCGACCGAUUGACUAGUUAGCAUUUAAUGCUUGACAGGUAAUCGUAGGACCUCGACUGCCCCUUGAUCGGACCUCGACCGGUUGAGGUUCAACCUUGACUGGUUGAACAACCAUUCUAGAAAAGAGAAAGGUUUUUUGCACUCUUCGAUCGGUUGAGUUGGGGGUCGACCGGUUCCUCAUUUGAUUCAACCGGUUGAACCUUUUUUUGGCUCAACAACCAAUUUUUUCAACUUAAAACUUUUUAAACAAGUUUAGAAAACAUUUGACACAAUGUUUUAAUUGAAAACAUGAAAUGAUCCAAUUUUAAAGGAUUUAAAAUAAAAAAACUCUUGGAUGAUUUUGGUGCAUAAGUAAAAAAUGUAAUGCAUGAAAAUCUUAAUGCACCAACAACCUUACAAAGAGAUCUUAUGAAGUUUGGGUAUUGAAAAACACUUCUCUUUGAGUUCUUCUUCUUCUUAAUGAUUUCUUUUUGACUUGACUUUUCUUUGUGAUUGCCACUUUGAAAAUCGUCUUACCUAAUCACAGUCGAAAAAUAAUCAUUAAUUCUAAACUUUGUUUUGUUAUCAUCAAAACCGAGAUUAACCAAACAUUGGUUUCACAAAGUAGAUUAAAUAUGUUUAGUAAAAUAACUUAAUAUUACAACUUAAAGUUAUUUUUAAUUUUAGGUAUUAAGAUAAAAUAGUUAAUAUAUUCUGAAUCUCAAAUCUUUUUUAUCUUAUUUGUUUACAUUAGAGAGAUCACAUUUGAAAAUUAUGAUUUCAUAUCAUAACUCAUUUUUAGUAAUAAAUAUUUUAUUAUUAUAUUAUGUAUUUACAAUACUUUAAAUAUGAAUGUUUUAUAAAUAAAUUUAAUGUUUAAAAUUAAUGAAAAUAAAUGUUAGUUAAAAUUAGUAAGGGUAAUGAUUACUACCAAAAAGUGCUAUUUUGUAGACCUAAUUAUAAUGGUUUUAAGCACCUUUGAGUAGUAAUCAUAUUCAUUUAACCCAAUUAAUUCAUUAAGGUCCUUAGUAAUUGGUUUUAACCAUUUUGUGGCAAGUUUACAUGUUUUUCAUCAGCUUAUGAACCAAUUCAAGCAUGCCAAUUGAUGGAGGAGCUACUUGGGCGAGUUAAGCAAGGAUUUUGGACAUUUACAGGCUUGAAUUUCAAGUGGAAACACGAGCACAAGCCAUGGGAACACCAUUUUGCAAGGAAAGAACAAUGGAGAAGAGGAAAACAGAGUGAAGAAAACAGAGGACAGUAGCUGCAGUCUUCUUUCACACUUUUGGAGCACUUUCCGAAGUCCAUUUUCUACAUGCUAUAUACCAUUUCAAAGCUCAGGAAGUCAAGAAUCCAACGCUUCAAACCGUGUACGAUUUGGAGCUGAAAUGAGGAAGAUAUGGCCUUCGGAAGACAACUACAUCAAGCCAUGGGAACAUCAUUUCGCAAGGAGAUUUUCUUCAUGGUGCGAAAUUUGGCCAUUUUGCACCAUGAAGAACCACCUUGCGAAAUUUCGCAAGGUGGCUUUUCACCUUGCGAAAUUUGGACCCUUCAUCUUUCCAUUCCACUACCGGUUCUCCAAGAUAUUUUGCUUUAUUUUUAGCUUUGUAAAUACCUAUUUUACCCUUGUAAUCAACCAAUGAAUAGGUUGCUUUUGUAAUAGCUCUUGUAAUUUAGCUUGUUAUUGUCUUUAAAUAGAGGUGAAGAGCCUCAGACAAAUAAAAUCUUGUAACCUGUAACUUUAUAAGUUAUAAGAUCACUUUUGUUCAUACGCUUCUUUUUUCUUUUCUUUCUCAUUUUCUUAGUAGCCAAACAUCCUUGGAGGAUGAAAUCCCCAAGGAUGAGAGGCUAAAACCUUUUAGUUUCUUGAAGUAAUGGAUGCCAUGUGAAGCUCCCGUGUCAGGAUGGAGAUUUCCAAGCCAUAAAUGUAAGUAGCUGAGCAUCAUAAAUGUUUUUAUUCAAAGUAAAGCUUUUAAUCCCUCUGACUUGCUUUGAAUGACCAAUACUUGAUAACAUUUUGGUCUCAGUGGAUUCUUAUUGUUAGAUCCACUGACGUUCAUUAGUUAUCUCCUACGAGCCAUUGUAUUGCAAGUCGAGGAGAUGACCUAUACCAAUAAAAGAGCAUUUAUGAGGUUCAACUACCCUUUUUGUAAGUUUUCAAGGACUAAAACUCAGUUGUUAAACUCAUACCGGUUCGGGAAGUAAGCAUCACCUUAGUUGCUUCCCCAACUCGAGGUGAAAAGUCCCAAAAUCUCCAUUUUUACACAGUGAGUUAAGCAUGGCUAUCCAAAGCUUUGAGAAACUUCUUUUUCCAUCUUUUAACCUAUUUUCAUGUUAGUUUAGUUUACAACACCUUCAUCUUUUUAUGUUUUCAUCUUAACCUAAUUUUUAUUAAGAAAAGUUCACUCCAUCCUCCGAACUUCACCAGUUAAAGUAAAAACCCUUCCCAGUGUUCGAUCCUAGAGCCACUAUGCUAUAGUAGCUUUGCUACUUUAGUGUAAGGACCUUAGGUAUAAAUUUUGUUGAUACCCUUACAUGCCAAGCUACCAAGAGUCGGGUUAUCAGGUAAAUAUGUCAAUUUGAUGAUUUAAAAUAAAUUUUAAAUUAACUUUAUCAAACAACCUUAAUAUUUAAGUAGCAAUUAAGUAACAAGUUUUAGGUUAACAACUUAAUAAUAAUUUAACUUAAAGUCAACCUAAGUCAUAAAGAUAUAAAUAUUAAGUUUUACCAAACAUCUAUUAAGUAGGUAUUUGGUAAAUCAAUUUAAUAACUUAAUAUGACUUGAUGACUUAAUUUAAGUCAUUAAGUAGAUUUACUAUAUUUUGUAGAAUAACUUAAUAUGAUAAUUUAAUGUAAAAAAUAGCUUUAAGUAUUAAGUCAAAAUAAUUAAUUUAUUUUUAAUCCCAAAUAUCUUUUAUCUCAUUUUAAAUGCUUAGUGAAAAUGUAUUUUAGAAUUAUGACUACAUUCACAACUCAUAUUUUAGUGUAAAUAUUUUUGUAAUUAUGUCAUGUUUCUAUGAUAUUUUAAAUGUGAUUUUUUAACAAAUAAAUUUAUUAUUUAAGAUAGAGCUAAAUAAAAAUAUUAAUUAAAACUAAGGAUGGUAAAUACAUUAAUUUGAUGAUUUAGAAUAAAAUUUAAUUUUAUUAAACAACUUUAAUACUUUAAAAUAAAAAAAUAAGUAAUAAAUUUUAAAUCAACAACUUAAAAUUAACUUAAUUCAUUAAAUAGUAAGCAUUAAGUUUCAUGAAACACCCCCUCAUUUGAAAAUAAUGGAUUAAACUUCAUACUGAAUAAUGAGAUAUAAUUGUGGAAGUACCAAAAAUUAAACCAUUAGGAGAAUGGUCUACUUUAAAACAUAAGGGCACAUAACUUCAUCUCACCCCAAAAUAAGGACUAUAAAAGGAGACAACCUCUAAACUUGUAAGAUGACCUGAUCGACUGACCUGUUCAUAGAAAGACGAGUCCAACUACUCUUGUUCUCAUGUGCCCAAAAGUCAAUAAAGCCUAUUGACUAGUUGUAAAAGCCUGUUAACAUAUUGCAAAAAGUUUGUUGACCUGGAAAAAGCCUACUAACCUACUAUAGAAAGCCUACUAACUUGUUGCAAAAAGGUACUCCUUCAUGCUCCUUCAUAGGAAGAGUGACUAUAAAUGGAAGUCUUCUCUUCCGCAAUACUCUCUCUCGGCCUAUACAAGAAACUACAAAAAAUAUAUCUCUAUACCCAAAAAAUGGUGGAAUAAAAGAUCUAGCUGUUUGGACUAGAGUGCAUGUGCAUCGCACUAAUGCAAUCAAAAUAAAAUAAAAUCCAUGUCCAAAACAUGAUUGAGUGGAAAAGCAAGCAGACUCCAAUGGACUAGCAUUUCAUUUGGGUUGGUUAAGAGAUGUGUUAGGAAACAUGAUAUGUAAAUCUUAUAAAUAUAAGUUUUUAGAAAAAUUGGUAGUUCAAUAUAGCAUCAAAUUUUGGUUUGGUGAGAAGGUUUCAUGUUUAAGUUUUGGAUAUGAAUCCAAAUUCUAUCUAUCUCCAUUCUAUCUAUCUUUCCACUGUUUUUGGAUACAAUAUGAAUCCAAAUUCUGUCUAUCUCCUCACAUGCUUCUAUUUUCUCUCUACGUGCGGGUAUAAGGUCGCACCAUAGGGAAGCUUAAGCUUGGGUUCAACAAGAUACUUGGUACACACACCAAUUGUAUCAAGCUAAGUUAAUACAAUCGACAAUCAAGAUAUUACCAGAUUCUAGAAUGGACGACCUUGAUCAAUACAAACCUACUGAACUUUAAAUCUUCCCACACAAGGUGGCUUUUCAUCUAUGCCAUCUAAUUGAUUUGAAAGAAGAAUUAAUCUAGAUCAAUUCAUUAAUUAAGAGAUGACAUGAUACUAAUUUAGGAUUAUUAGAGAUCAUUAAAUUAAUUACAAAAUUGUGUGUUUUUUUAUUAGAUUUGUUAAGCAACUGAUGGGCUUGAUUAAUCAAUAUGUGCAGAUGUUCCCAAAUCAGCUGUGUGCAAGGCUGAUGGGGAAUGCCUACCCUAGUCUACUAUUUUCGCGUUAGCAGAAUGACUUUUAGACAUCAGAGCCUAUAUAUUCAUGUUCUUUCCUUUUGUCCUGCAAAAAUGUUUUUUUUCUUACCCUACCAUUUUGAUGGUUGUUUCACUGUAUUGUGCUCUCAUUUUCAUAUAUAUAUAUAUAUUUAGGACAUUUUCUAGGAGUAGCGGCAUCAUGGCUUGUCCAAGUUGGCGUUGAAAUCUAUCGAUUCUUUUCUUGUAUGAUUAACUUUGAAGAAAAGAUUGAUAGGGUCGAUAAGGCUGAAAAAGUCAAGCUUCUAGGAAAGAAAGUUAUGGGUUCUACUGUCAAAUGUGGUGCAUCACUAGUUUUUGCUUCUAUAGCAACCGAGAUUGGUGCCACCCUUUUCCAUCCUUCAGCCAACCAGUGGAUUGGUAAGUACAUUUUCUCUUCCAAGAGUACCCAAUAAAUCUUUUUGCAUGAUGUCAGUAACAUACAAAUCUCUGUAAGUUUGCUAAUUUUAUAGAAUGUAUAAAAGAAAAAAUCUAUGAUAUGUAAAAUUUCCAAUACUAAAAUGUAAUUUUCCUAUAGGCCAUAGGUUGUGCUGCAAGUUUUGACCCAAAAUAGAACAUUUUAAAAAAAAACAUUCAUAAAGUAAACCGAUUUUCAAAAUAAUGUCCAAUUUAGUGCGCUUGUGCCACGUAGGUUGCCACAUUAUAAAAUCGUAGUUGGUGACUACGGUUUUAUUUUUUAAAAACGGUCAGAACCGUAAUCACCAACCAUAGUUUUAGCUUUAAGUUUAAAACCGUAGUUGAUAACUACAACUUUGACUAUUUUUAAAAGUAGUAGUCAAAGUCAUAGUCACCAACUAUGGUUUUAAACUUAAAGUUAAAAUCGUGGGUUGUGACUAUGGUUUUGACCGUUUUUAAAAUGGUCAAAGUCGUAGUUAUCAACUACGACUUUAACUUUAAUUAUAUAUAUAAUUAUGUUGUUUGAUUUGAAAUAUUUAAUUUUAAUUUUUUUAAAUAAAAAUAUUAUAUUAUUUUGAUUUUAUAUUUAUUAAAAAUAUGUUAGUGGUUUAAUAAAUUGAUCUCAUUAUUUAAAAAAUAGUAAUAUAUGAAAUUAAAUAAUUGAUGUCUCUAAUUUGAUAUAAAAAUAUUUUUGUUUAAUUUUAUUAAAAUAAUUGGCACUAUACUUAAUAUAAAUAUAAUUAGUUAUAAAUAUACUAUUUUAUACCCUCAUAAUGAAGAAUAUAAUAUUAUUUUGUAAUUUUAUGCAAAAAUUAAAACCAAUUAUGCAUUUGUACAAAAUAUAAUAUGACUUCUAGUGGGUAAAUGAUUGGAAAAUUACCUUUUUUUUUUUUCAUUUUUUUCAUUUCAAAAUUGGAUCAAAAUGGAAUGGAAAGGCUUAAAAUUUUAAACUUAAAAUACCAACUGAAUAGAAUUUGUUUUUCCACUUCUUAAAAUAUAGAAUUCUAGAAAGAAAAUACCUUUGUUUUUCUAUAUCAAUAGUGUUGAUGUUGUAUGUAACGAAUUAGUUAUAAAUAUUAUUAGUUUAAGAAUUAUUUUGGUUGGAGGUUUAGAUUGUUAGAUUACUAUAUGUAAGUGGUAUAUACUAUCACUCACACACACACACACACACACACACAUAUAAGUUCAAUUUAAGUUUAAUAUUUAUCAUAUUUUCAUUUAAAUAUAUAAUAAUUUGUUCAUAAUAAAAAAGUAAACAAUAUAAUGCAAAUGAAAAUAAACACAAAAACUGAAAAACGGUCCUCAAUGAGUACCACAUGAUGGGGCCUUCCUUUUUCUUUGCGGAUGCUUACGAUACAAAGACAUCUUUGUUGAAUCUAUCUGUGCAAUCUGCCAUGUCUCAGUAUGUAUAGGUUGAGAUGGAACUGAUGGAGUCAAGACUCGAUGUCUACAUAGACCACGACGUCACCUAGGUGGGCAUACAUCUAACUGUGUAACAUGUGUAAGGAUAUGAUGCAUGAUAGUCUCUAUGGGAAGAGGUGUAGGUGAUGGUAAAGUGGUAUAUGGUGGGGCGAUCUUAGGUAUAGUGAUAUCUAAUAUGGUAGCGUUUAGGAGAUGUGAUAUAGGAGAUGGAAGAAUGACAUCUGGUGUAAUGAUAGCUGAUGCAAUAACAUUUAAUAUAGUGGGCUCAAGGAGAGGGGAUAUAAUUGAUGAUGAUGAGGUGACAUGUGGUGUAGUGGUCUCCUUAAGAGAAGGUAGAGGUGAUGGUAGUAGAUAGUGGGGUAGUCUCUGGUGUAGUGAUAUCAGGUAUAGUGGCCUUUAUGAGAGGAAAUAUAGGUGAUGGUAGGGUGGUAUCUGAUACGACAUGCUCUAAAUGAGAAGGUCUAGGUGAAGGUGAUGGUAGGGGUGAAAGGGGAAGUGUGGAAGCCUCAGGUGCAAAUGAGGUAGAUGAUGUGGAUGGUGCUAACAUGGUCUCGGGUGGAUGCAUAGAUCGUCGAAGUUGUUGACCAGCUCGCCUACCAUACCGCCUACUACCUCUCCCUCGGCCUCUAAUAGGUUACAUCCUAACUGUAAUGGCCGACAUAAGUGGUUUCAUGGAUGGGUUUGAUGAUGUAGGUGACUAAUGGAUUGAAUGUAUGUAAUGCUCUUCUCCAAUAACAUGCACAAUAUCGAUAGCAAUCUGAUGACUGUCUCUUAAUGCACCUAAAGUAGGCCUAGUAGAUCGACUAACAAUCUCAACCAUACCAGUGAUCUAAAAAUAAAAAUUUAAAAAAGUAAAACAUACGAAGAUGAUUUUUUAUUAAUUAUAAUUUAAUAAAUCAUUUAAAAUUUAAAAAAUCUUACCAACAACUAAGUAGCCACUAUUGUACUAUGAUACCCCAUUUAAUCUCUAUGGAGAGGGGGUGUGAUCAAACGUCAUUUGAUAUAUCAGUACCACUCCAUAUAUGAAUCAUGACAUUGCAUAACACCCGCCAUAGGUGGUGCUGUUGUAAUACGCUCUGCACGACUAGCCCAUAAGGUAAUAUAUUGUGCAUGGAAUGACCCCCAAUCAUACUUAUGUCGUCCUCGCCUAUCCACGGAAAGGAGGUCCUAUUCUAUAGAACAAGAUGGAGGUAACCCUUGUUGGAGGCCAAACUGUCACAACACUCACUCCGAUCGAUGCAACUCGACAAUGUUGAAGCAGAUAAGAAGUGACAUUGUCCGCCAAAUCUCCUAGUUUGCUAGAAAUAUCGCUGGAAGAUGGGCAACUAAGUCUCCCAUGUAAGGCUCCCAUAAAACCUAUUAAAAUCAAAAUUUGGCAUUAAUAAUGUUAAUGUUUAUAUGGUUAACAAUAACACAUUACAUCUUAUAUGUACCUGGUCAUGGGUCUGUCCAUCUAAUUGGUCUCAAUAAAAUGUCAACACGCAUGAUGGGUUUUGAGCCCAUGAUAAAGGUAUUCUCCACCUACAUCCUAACAGAUUAGUUGGUAAACCCUCGUCUAACAUUGCCUUAUCUGGUAAUCCCUAAUCCUCAUUCAAUAAUCCAUGGUGUACCCUAAUAGGACCCUCAAUUGGUAAAUCAUCGACUACAUCAUGAUCUAAAUGCUGAGUUGCUAGAGGGGCUAGUGGAGUCUCUUUCAUAUACAUACCUGGCUAAAGUAAACUAAAUGAGACCUGUGUCUAUCUUGUAGAACCAAAACAGAUGUAUCUAAUGAAUUUGAAUCAAAACUAUGUCCUCUAUACUCGAUAUCUGUAACAAAAUAUUGAAGAUAAAUAAACAAUACUUAUUGUUUUUAAAUAAAAAAUAUUUAUAAUGGAAAAGUUUUAAAAAUUUAUGGAGUUUCCCCUAAAUUAAGUAUGUAUCAAUUUGAUAAAUUUAAGUAGAUCAAUUCAUUUAUGACCAAUAAACAAGUCAUACUAGUCUAAAUUAAAAUUAGAGAUACAAAUACAACAAAUCAUUUUGUUAACAUUUUUAAUAGAAGAUUUCAAAAUUUUGACAGAGUUUUCCCUAUAGUACGAACAUUAUCCCAAAUACAAAUAAUUGGAUUAUGCAAAUAACAUCAAUAUUUAUAAUCAAACCAAAGCCAAUAAUUGCAUAAAGAUAGUAUCAUAGUAGCUUACAUCACAAUAUCCAAGAAAAUUACAUGCCUACAUCACAUGGUCUAAUCAACUCUAUUACUAUUUUGACAAGAGUGGCGAUUGUGGCCACUUUGUUUGCACAACCCACAUGUAAUAAAAGUUUUGCCCUCUCUAACAUCCAUUUCAUUAUGCAAACGACUUGAUUUAGGUUGUCCACUUGAUGCACAUUUCAUCAACUUAGAAGACAUGAUAAUCGGACCAUCGUAAGGAGACCACUCAUAUACAUUGAAAAUGAGAUGGAACAAGGGUGCCCAAGUAUUAUAGUAUGAUUAAGUACUAUAGUAGUGUUGAACAAGUGGUCUAAAAUCAACUGAAAGAAAAUGACAUGGUGCUAGAAUAUGGCUACAUGGGAAUCCAUAUAUGAGUAUAUUACCACAUGUGCAUGCAUGCUCAUGUAAGUUGACGCGAUAUGUUUGACCACCAGUUGAGCUACUCUUAGUACCCCUACUAGUCUUCACAUGGAAUCGUCCUUGGAUGUGAUCAUAUAAAACAAUCAUGAGAUAUUGACUUAACCACAUUUACCUUAAUCUUAGCAUCAACAUAUGGAGUGUAUUCCUUAUUCAAAGCAAGUCGAUUAACACUUUGUUCAUUUCUCACAACAAAUUAACUAUUUAGCCGAAAAAAUGUCGAUUAAACCAAAGCAAUUAUAGGCAAGCUACUACGAGCCCUUUUAAGCACACUGUUGAACACCUUCGACAUGUUUAUAGUCAUGAUGCCAUACCUUCGACCUCUGUCAUGAGAAAGCGCCCAUUUCUCAAAAGGGAUUGCUUCCAACUAUUGUUGUGCGGCUGCAUUAAUCCUCCCAAUUGUAUCCAUAUGUUUAUUGAAUUUUUCAAUCUUGGUUGCUAAGGCUACUCUACACAUCAAAAUUUUCAAUAUUUUAUCCUUGAAUUGAGUCAUAAAAUUGUUGGCAAGAUGACACAUACAAACCCUAUGAUAUGCAUAUGGCUCAGACUAACCAAGAUGAACAUCGCUCAUUGUAGCCAUAAUGCCUGGAUGUCGAUAUGAUAUAACACAAAGUCCCUUCUUAUGAGUUACUCUAGUUCUAAUACAUGCCAAAAAUAAUUAAUUUUAGCUAUCAAUAUUCUUACCCUCUGUUAGGACAAAAGUCAAUGAGAAUAAAUAAUUAUUUCUAUCACAACUUAGCGAUCAUUCAAGUGCCUUUAUACUUCUCAUACAAAUGUGUAACAUCAAUACUAAGUGUAGGUUGACAAUGCUUAAAACCUUCAAUAGAUGGAUGAAAUGUCCAAAAAACUCGCUGAAAUAUCUCUUUAUUCUCCAUAAUACCAAGAAAUGUUUUUGAAAUUACAACACAUCCUAGAUUUGCCUGCUCUAAGCCAAUGAAAAAAUGUGGCAGCUAUGCAUAUGACUUAUAAAAAUCACCAAAAUAAGUUUGUAAGUGCUUUAAGCUUUGCUUUAGAUGUCUUCUUGUAUGAUAUUUGGUAUCCGAAUUUAUCCACAAUACUUGCUUCAAUAACAACCACUAACAAUGUGAAUUGUGUCUUAAUCAUUCCUUGGAUAUAAGCAGCAAUCAAGUUGGAAUUUAAUUGUUGAUGGUCCUGAUUCAAGCAAAGAUUUACACAUUUGUGCGAACCAUUGUAUUUAUUGAUUGCAAAUAAAGAUGUACAUUUUAUGACCGUAGUACAAAGUUUCUAUGGACAUUGAGAUUGCUCAACCUUCUUGCAUUUUAAGACAAACAUCUUUUUAGUUGAUGAAACAACAACGUACUCUUGGUGUGCACUAAUAGAGUACAACUUCACAACAUGUUGUAAAUAUGCCUUUGAAUUAAAAACUUGGCCAACCAUGAACUCUUCAUUUGAGUUUCAAAUAUUAGUGUUCCCCCAUGGGGUUUAGUCACUUGAAAUGACAUUACCAGUGUUUUUUACAUUUUCAAACUACAAAGAUGGUGCUGAGUGACAUUAAAUAGGGGAAAACUCCAUUAGGUCUUUAGAAUAUGGGUUAUUUGACAUAUCACAACCUUUCCUAUCGACGGAGACAUAUCUCCCUUAUUCAUUUUCCAUUGCUUUGUGAAGAGCUAAGAAAGAUGAAACAACAUUAACAUUAUUGUUUUCCUUAUCCAUAAAUUUGAAUGCCCUAUGGCCAUCAUGUUGAACAUCUUCUACUCCCUCACUUUGAUCAUCACCUUCUUGGGAUUCACAUUCUUUUUCAUCUUCAUCUGCUCUACACUCAUAAGUCAUUGCAAUUGGGACGCUACUAGGUCCAUAACCAUACUCAAAUUCCUCAACAUUAUCAUUUUUUCCAAGUAAAAAAAUGUGUGAAAUUACCCAAUAAUUGCCCUCUUAAUCGUGGUUGUAUUGACACUUGUUCAAUAUACAAUUCAAUUUCAACAUUUGGGAUAAACUAUUAUCAUCCCAUAUUGAACAAUGUUGGAACCUAUUUUCCAUUUUUAAAGGAUACCUAUAGUUGAAGACUAAUUGAAAUUGUUUUUUGUCAAUGUUAGUUCUCAAGUAUAUCAUAGAUAACAAGUGUUCAUAUGUUGAACUAACAGGUACAUCCAAAGACACAAUUACAAUUUGAUCCUCAACAUAUUUUACAUUUAUUUCUGUCCUCAACAUUUUUCCUUUACAAAAGCAUAUCACAGGAACAAUAGAUUCAGAUAUGAUUUACUUACAAAAAAAAUACAAUAUCAAAUGGUUUAAUAAUCAAUGAAAAUAAUAGCAAGUCUUUGUGUUUUGAACUUAACAUACUUGUUUAUUAAAAUAAUUACAAAAACACACAUAUAAGAAUGUUCAAGAGAAAUUGAAUACAAUAUUUUAACAUGUGAAUACACAAUUAUAUAAUAAAACACCUUCAUACACAUUAGGGGGAAAAAUAUAAAUCACUUCAAAAUAAUAAUUUGUUUAUUUAAAUAGUUAUCUAUGAUAUAAAUAUAUUCAUAGAUAAAUGUUUCAUAAAAUUUUUAUUUAAAACUUAGAUAGUGAGUUAUAAAUUAAUAAAUGUUUGGUUAAACCUAAAAGGCUAAACAAUUACAAGAAUCUCAAAAUUAAAUAAAAAAUAAUCCACCAAUAAUUUUUUUUUUGAUAAAAUAUCAUAUAUUAAAAUUAAAUUAAAUGUUAUCAAUCAUUAAAUAAUGUAUAAUUUAAAUAAUUAUGUUGUUAUUCAUAAAUCACUUGAUAUUGCUUAAACCUAAAAGUCGAAAAAAAAUUUAAAUCUCAAAAGAUAAUUCACCACUAAAAAAUAUAUUAAUAAAAUAUCAAAUACACAAUUAUAGAAAUAUAUAUAUAUAAACAUUAUUUGAAUAUUAAAAAUAAGUAAUAUGUUUAUAUAUAAACAUAUUAAAAAUGAAAACAAAUAAACAUUUUAUAAAUCUAUUUAAUAUUAAUUUUAAUUUGAAAAACACAUUUAAAAAACUUAAAAAGAAAAAUCAUCUUUUAAAAUUUGUUCAAACAUUAUUUUACUAUUCAAAAUAAAUAAUAUAUUUAUGUUUAUUUUAAAUUGAAAACAAAUAAACAUUUAAUAAAUCUGUUUAAUAUUAAUAAUUCUUUUUACUUAAUCCAUAUAUAAAGUAAUUAAGAAAACUUUUAGUUGUCCUUUGAGUAUCAUCCUUCUUUGUAUAUUCCUUCUUUAUAUAUGUGAUCCUAUUCUAUUUUUUAUUUAUUAUAAAAGCAUGUUUAUUGGAACUACAAUAAGCAAUUCGAGUUUGAAUGCUUUAAGCACCAUGUGGUAUAAGAGGAAAUCAUCAUUCCACCAAAACAUUCAUCUACCAUGCCCAAAUAUAAGUCAAGCAAAUUGUUGCUUAACCCAAUUGAUGCCACUUGGAGUUCAUAUAGAGUUAAAGCUUUCAUUACCUGAGGGGACUAGAAUACACAUUAUUAUUAAGCCAUACAGCUAUAAGUAUAUGAACAUAAGAAAUUACUUGCUUUUGAACAGAUCUAUACUGAAGAGAUUACCUUUUUAACCUGAGUGGGAGUAAAUUUGAUAUGGAUGGUAAUGGGAACCAAGAAGCCAGGACCAAACACCAAAAAAGGAAAAUGAUUAAAAGGAUCAUCAAGUUGGGGCAUUUGAAAAUGUUGCAAACAUAGAGAAGAUAGCUUCUUUGAUCAGGGUUUUACACUAUGGGAUGCAUUUAUAGGGAUUUUUCUAACUAUCAGAGUUGUGGGAAAUAGCUUGAAUCAAAUUAAUAACUUAAAACAAUUGUAGAAUAUGAUAGCAUUGUGCUUUUCUUUAGCCUUUUUAGUAAUAGGUUACUUGAAAUCAACUUUGUUAGCAACAUGCUAGUUUGAAUUCUCCUACAGAUUUAAGUUUCAAACAUGGGUUAAAACUCAUCAAAUGCAUAAAUAAUUGAUAUCUCAAUUAUAUUGUUUAGGUACUAAAUCAUUUUUAAGGAUAAAGAUAUGCAUGAAUACAAUAAAGAAGAAGUGGCAAUGGCAUGCACUCCAUUUAAGCAAUAGUAAUAGUAUUUCCAUUUUCUGAUAUUGAAUAUAAACCUUUUAUAAUAUCAGGUAUCUUCCAUAAAGUAGUAGAAACUGUUUCCUCAGUGCCAAUAUGAUUUUUAAUUCAUAAAGAAACAUUAAAGGUACCGAUUUACUGAUAAUUAUUUGUGUCUGUCACUAAGCCAAAUGAAUGUGUUGAUAAUUUUGAGAAUCUCAAUGUUAUAUCUAUGGAUAUUGUGUCAUAUUUGAAAAUUUCAUUCCAAGUUGUAUAUAUUAGAUAUGUAGAUGGGGAUAUGAAUAUAUUUUUGAGAUCAAAAGUAGGUAUUGGACACAUGGUAGAGGCAACACUUCUAAAGGUAUUGGAAACUCACUUAAUUUGUUAGGUGGAAGCCUAAGAGAGGUUAUGGAUUAGGUUUUUGAAGAUGGAAGCCAAUUUUUAGGGGUUCUCAGAUAAAUAAAAAUUGAUGGAAUUCCAGAAAAUAAGUUGCUGGAAUUUGGUUUUGGAUGUUGGGUUGAUUACUGGAAGGUAGAAAUUGGCUUUAAGGUUAUACAAGUUUGGUUUUCAGGUUAGAAAAUGAAGAAAUGACAGCUAGUUUGAGUUGUACUGCACUUAUGACUUGCAUAAUAAUUGAGAAGGAAAAGAAUGACUAAAAGAUGUAGAAUUAAGAGGAGGAAGAAAUCAAGUUGGGAUUAAAUAAUCAAACCAAAAUAUUAAAUUAAUCAAACUCUAAUUUUUUUUGAAGUUGUGUUGCAACUGUGUAGAAUCUUGUAAAACUUUCUAAACAUGAGAAAACCUUAAUAAAACUACAAUAACCAAUAUUGGAAUCAAAUAGGGAUUUAAAUCUCUAACAGAGAAAAUUUUUGAACACCUAUUCUAUUCUAAAAUCCAUUGGAAGAUCUCCUAAUUUGAUUAACUUUAGAAACUUGAUUAGUAGGAAUUUUUACAUUUUACCCAUAAUGAGGGAAUUUGGGGAAAAGAAAGGAAUUGAAUUGACAAUAGAAAUUCCAGUACUUCAUAAAUGUUUUCAUUUCUUUGUACUUAGUUAAAAAGAUUUAAAAGUCAUUAGCCCCCUUUUUCAUAUUUUAGUGUUAUUUCUGUAUGAAACGGUGUCAAUUUCUUUAAUCUUCCUUUAAAAACCCUCUGACCUUGAGUUAUCUCAAUUACUAUUAAAGCAAGAUAACACAUGUCUAUUAGUUCAAUGCCUAUGUAGUAAAUAUAAAUCAAUUGGGUUAGAUAUAACGGAAUCUGAAGAUAAAGCCCUAUUCAUUGGCCCUCGAAAAGAGGCAUGGAAGCAAUGUCAAUGAAAACGUUCUAGGUUGUUCUUUACGAAUUAGAAGGCCAAGGGAGUGGUUAGUUUGUUGGCCAGACUAGAUGGGCUCUAAUAAAGAAGAUAGUUUAAAUGAUAAGAUAGGAUUAUGAUUUGAAGUAUAAUAAAAAAUUAUUAUGUUAGUUGCAACAUAUUCUAUGUGUGUUUGUUUGCUUAUUGAUAUAGUAUUAUGCAUUAUCAUGGUGGAAAGAAACCUAGAUUUGUUUCGAGAAAAAGAAAAUAGACUACUGCAUUGCUUCAAAAUGAUAGAACAGGAAACUUAAGUGCUUCACCAUUAAGGCUUAGCCUUUAAUGUCAAGAAUGGUAUCAUUUUUGAGUAACAUCAAAUCCUAGACUAGCCCCUAUAAUUUUUUUUAUCUUCCUCACAGAAUGUUAGGCUUUGAACUUUACCCUAUAUUUUAUCUGGUUCUCAUAACAUCAGCUUGGGGCUUAAGUGGCUCUUGUAUUACAAUCAAUUAUUUCCAUACAACUCAUAGAAUUUUUAGCUUAACCCGUUCUAUUUCAAUGUCCAUUCCAAUCAUUCAUUAUCAAUCAUACUUUAGUAUCGGUUUCAUAAUUUUAUAUGCAGUUGAUUAGUUUUGAGCACAAUCCUUAUUGUUAUCUAUAGAAUAAUGGAUUGAAACAUAAUUGAAGGUAACCAAAAACAUAAAUAAAUACAUGCUCAUUUGUAUAUAAAGCUUGCUUUUAACUUAACAUUUGGUAAAAAGUGGGAAGAAGAAAAACAAAAGUUGAGUACUCCGAUUUUUUCUGUUCCUAUAACAAAAAUUAGUGCUCGUCUCCUUCAUUUUUGGAGUUCUUAAGAGUGGUCCCCUUCAUUUUUGGAGUUUUUAACUGUGGUCCCCUCCAUUUUUGGAGUUUUUAACGGUGGUCCCUUCCAUUUUUGGUAUCUUUAACAAAAUAAUCAUGGUGGCCCCCCAUUCCAUAUCCAUUUUCUUUACCAAAACAAAAGAUUUUCUCUCUGCCAAGCUCACAAUGAAAAUAAAAUAAAAAACCAAACACAUCUCUACCAAGCUCAAGAUGAAAAUAAAAUAAAAAACCAAACACAUCUACAAUAAUAAACUAAAAUAUGUGAAAACCAAAUAGAUUUACAAAAAAAAAAAUUAAAAUUUAUGUAAACUAAAAAACUCAUAAAUCUUACUUGACCAAUGAUAGAACAAGAUGAAAAUUUGGAAAAUAUUGAAUUUGAGCCAAAGAUGAACCAAAGACAGCCAGAUGCAGUAGGAGACAAUGGGAAGAAUGAAUAAAAAGGCAAAACCUUAAAGGUAAGAAACCUAACCAAAAAGGGAAAUGAAUUGAAAAUUCUUCAUAACUGUAGUUGGUAACUAUGGUUUUGACCGAUUUUUAAAAAAUUUAAAACCAUAAUUGGUGACUAUGGUUUCAUGACCUCGAUUCCUACGUGGUAUAGACGUACUAGAUUGAGUAUUAUUUUGGAAAUCAGUUUACUUUUUUAUUUAUUUUUUAAAUGUCCUAUUUUGGGUCAAAACUCAUGUGUUGUUGGGGACUUUGGCUGGGCUCAUUUUUGUAUCAAUUUGCUUUGAAAAGGUUCUUCAUGUAGACCUUUAGAAGAACACAUGGGAUAAGUUGUUUGAUGGAUUUUGGCACCUGCUUCGAAUUGUGUGGCUUUUUUAACUUCUACUGCUAGUUUAUUUUUUUAAAUGGUAGUUUGAAAAAAAAAAAUCUUAAAGUAUGGUAGUUACAAAACUAUUGAUAAAUUUAUUACACUUUUUGUCACAAAAGUGACACAUUCCAUAGUUUUCAUAUCAACGAUACAUGUUAAAAAAAAAUUGAAUUUACACUAAAUGUUUCUUAAAAAAAACACAUAUUGCAAUUCUAUUAAAUCAAAUUUAUACUAAAAGAUAUUUUUUUUAAUAGACACUUUUUCAUAAUUUUUUUAUUAAUCACGCAAGCUAAAACAUCGAAUUUAGGUGUCUCUUGAAGAGACGCUUUCAUAUUAACCACAUAGUGAAAAAAAUUUAAAAAAAAUACACUUAAUAUAUCUCCAUAAUUCCACAAAAUUGAAUUUAUACUAAAUGUGUCUUUUAAAAAUAUGCCUUUCACAAUUUUUAUAUUAACCACCCAUCGAAAAAAUUAAAUUUAUAUUAAAGGUAUAUUUUGAAAAGACAUUUUUAAUAUAAAUUUAAUUAAUUUAUAUUAAAGUAUCUUUUAAAAAGACACUUUAAAAAUAUAAUUUUGUAGAAUUAUGAAAAAUGCAUUUUGAAGUGAGUAUAAAUUCAAUUUUUUUUCUCACUGUGUAAUUAAUAUGAAAACCAUUUCAUUACAAUCCAUCUAUAUGUUUUGCUAGUAGUGUAAGUUUCAUGGGAUUGCAUUUUCCUUCUACAGAAAAUGCAUGGUCUGAACUGGCCAUUGAAUUGUGCCCACGGUAUAUCCCAUUGUUAAAUAAUGGAUGAUCUGCAAAUAAUCUGAACUGAUUCUAAGCCAUCUUUUUCAGAACAUGAGCUGAUUAACCCCUAGUUUUCUAAUGAUUUGUUUUCUUCACUUGUCCUCAUGAUGCUCUACCAUUACUGGAUCCAUGAAGCUAAAGUCACAUUUCAAAUGAUACAAAACAUGUUACCGAAUAUCUUUUCACUUGUCUCAAUACUAUUUUACUUGUAGUGCAAGUAUCUAAAGAUCCCAUUGAAAAGAAAAACGUGGGUUUGCUUAAUCAUCAUAAAAAAGGUGGGAUCAAGAAAUGACAUUUCUAUACUCUCGGAUAUCCUCUCUGCAGCUUCUAUGAUUAAGGAACAAACCCAAGAUGAGCUCAGGUGUCCCAGAUCAUCACAACCGCGAUUACCCCGACACCCAACAACACUGCUAAGAACUUGUAGUUGGGGGUGUCAAAGGGAACUGUCCUCUGGCAAUUGUAUCCCUUGGACAGUAGAUGGUUUAUUGAGACAUAGAUGAAGAUCCCACAUGCUAGCCCCAUUGAUAUAGCGUAUAUCCAGUCAGCCACAGCGCCCUGGGUAGUGGCAUCUAUGACGAUACCAAUGGCCACUCCAACUGGGCUAGAAAUGGCAAAUGCAAAGGCAUAGGCUACACAGGAGAGGAGGGGUCUGUCUGGAAUCAUCCGAAGGAGAGCUAUUCCCAUUGCAAUGGCUGCAAAUAUCUUGUGGAGACAGACCGUCCAUAGAGCUCUCCAAGCGUCAGCUUCGGUCUCUGCAACUCCAAUUGCAAUGCCCUCAAAUACAGAGUGGAAACACAGUGCAAAGAUGAGUAAUAUGUUGUCCCCAAGCGAUGUGGCAGUUCUCAGAGGGGCGUUUACAAAGUGGAGCUCUGUGCAAUUCUGAUCCUGUUAAGGGAUAGUAAGUAUUCAUUUAGCUGUCUCAGGCAUUUUAAAACGUUUUUCCUUGAAUUUUGUAAGCGAUAGAGAAUCAAGGUUUCCCUAUCAUCUUACCUGACCCAGAGACUCUGAAUUUCCGCCAUUACUACUACUUUUUCCUUGCAUAUUUGCUGUAACAAAGGAAUGAAAAUAAUAUAAGAAUGAAAGUAGAUGAUAAUACCAUUAUGAAAGAGAGUUCAAAUCCAGUGGGAGUAGGAUUUUGUCUCAUUCUUAUUCUGAUUCUAAAAAACCAUCCAAAUACAUUAAAAUGAAAAUUGAAUGGAUUUCUCAAUCGCUAUCAUAUGGCCAAGUGCACUUAUGAGAUUACCAUCUUAUAAAACCUCAACAGUCAACAUCAUAUGUUUCGUAAGGUUAUGGUUGGUUCUCGGAAAGUACAAAGAAAAGAAAAAAAUUAUUAAGGAAAAUGAUUUUCUCAUAUUUGGUUACCUUAUAAAAUAUUCCAAAAAAAAUUAAAUAUAAUUAAAAUUAGUAAGAAAUUUAUGCAUUUUAAAAUUAUUUAAUCUUCAUUAUGAUGAGUUAAAAUAAAUAAAAUGAAUUUAAAGUAAAAAAUAAAAAUAAUUUAUCAUCUUUAACUCUAUUUUUUUAUUUUCCUUCACUUUUUAUUUUCCUUUAUUUUUCCUCUCUAUUUUAUUUUCUUUGCAUUUUCCCUCCGAUUUUCCUAGAACCAAACAUAGCCUAAAUUCAUUUGGAAUUUCCCUAUUUUAAGCUUUCUCGUCUACUAGUCUAUUUUCUCAGCAGUCAAACAGAGUAAUAAUCAAGGCUAUCAAGCACCAGAAAUUUAAAAAUAAAAAUCACCAAAUCAGUAGUGUCUACACUAAAUUGAGUUUCUCAUAUCUUAGUUUCCUCCUUUUCUAAGGAAAGAUAAAAUAAAAUAAAUAAAUAAAUAAAAAAUCAAAGGCUCAAAGAACCAACCUUGAAGCUCGACAUCUCCGCCGCCACCACUCGGCCCCUUUCCAUACACAUAGGAAACCAAACAAUCGGCGAACAUCGUCGUCAAAUACCCCGCACACGCCAGCAUGAACGCGAACGGAUACUCCACGCUCGUCAAAUCCCCAAACGUCUCAUUCGAGUCGCUCAGAAAAUGCAUCAUCGCCGUCCCCAUAAACACUCCGCCGGCGAACUGCGUUCCCAGCACUAGAAACGUCUCGUUCCACUUCAAGAAGUAGGGCGACACGCCGCCGAUGAAAGUCCCGACAAACACGAGAAUCAGACAGUAGAUCUUCACCAGAAUCAGUGGCUUCGUCCUCAAGUCAACGCUGUCCGACGACGGCUCGUCACCAUCAUCAUCAUGAUCGCCGCCAUGGGCUGCGGCGACGGCGGCGAAGGCGAGGAGGAGAAGAGAGAGGGAGAGGAGAGAGCGAGGCAUUGGAAACGGAGGGAUGAAGAAGGAAGCAUUUGAAUCAGGCUGUAGGGUUUCUAUAUUCUUUUAUAUAUGAGAGGGUUGGUUGGAAUUGUACGAUACAGAGACGAAUGGUGAAAGAGGGCAAGUACUCAGUACUGCACAAAGAAGACACGAACGUGGAAAGUAUAUAAUGAUUAAUGACUAACCAUUUAUAGCUUCACAGCCAAGCUUCUCCUCCCCUGCCUUUUGGGCAGCGGCUGGUAUUUCCGCGUGAUAAAGGAGAUGCACACGUUCUUGGGAUCUUUUUCUAAAAAGGAGUUAAUUUUAUUUUAUUUUAAUUUUCUUGAUACUUCGUUGUUUCUGCUAUCAAAGAAUGAUUGAAAAGAUUUAAUAUUGGAUAUUUUAUUUUUAUUUAAAAUGGUUUUAUGGUUCUUUUUGGAUAUUUUAAUUUAAACAUGUACGGCUGUCAAUUAUUUUAUGUAAUAUGUCUUUUUCCUGAUAUAUUGCAUUUAAAAAGGAAUGUAAAUUAUAUAUACAUUUUUUUCUGUAUAUCAAAUUUCUAAUGAAAAUUCUUGAUGAUUGAAAAUAUAUUAUAAAAUUUAAAUUAUUGCAUCAAAAAAAUAAAUAAUAAAAUUAAGAUAUAAAAAAAAUAACCUGGUUGCAAGCAAUGACUUUGACUAGCUCUGAAGAAUAUAACACAAGAAUUUUGCCAUUUAUGAAUGAAACCACCAUACCAUACUUAACUUAUCUAACAGUAGAUUGCUUAUUUAUGCCAAAAUCAAACAUCCCUGCUCCAUAUGAGAGAAAUGUUCAUCGUAACUGCAUACCAGUAUGCUUCAUUUUUAGAAGUUUCUAUAUACAACAACAUGGUUGACCUUUUCCCUCUUUAUUUUUAUUCUUACAAAUUUUCCUUCACUGCUCAUCUGAAAGCUUAAACUAUUAGCCUUUUUUCCUAUAACGUGUGACCAUAUAUAAUUAUAUUUAUAUGAAUAUUAUUUAAGGGUAUCAAUUGAUAGGUAGGUGAAUCAAUUGAUUAGGCAUCCAAGAGUCUUAUGUAUGGAAGACUCAAAUUACAAAUGAGGAGUUAGAAAAUUUAACUCAUAUGAAUGUGGUGUUACAAUUUUUGUAACCCCAUCUUUAUGAAAUUUAUUUGUACAUUAUGUUUAUGAGUAAUGGAGGAAAAUAGAAAGAUAUAACCUAUACAAUUAUAUGGAUGCAUUCAAGUUCAUAACCCACUAUUACCCAUUAAUUUGUACAUAAUGGGUGUAAAUAAUGAGUAUAACUUCCAUAUAGUCUUUGAUGGGAAGACUAAGAGAUGUACAACUUAUUAUAAAUUGAGGUCUCAAGCCACACUCUCAUUCUUAUGUCUUUUUCUUUCUUGUUGUUUAUUUUUUAACAACAUACACCACACAAGUGACCCAUCCACUAUAUGAGAGUAGUGAGUUGAAGACCUUGACAAUACAAUUCACAAGGUGACUCAAUCUCACUUCAUGGAUCAAGGUAAAAAUAUGAUCAUUAUUUUAGUACUUCCAUUUAUUUGUUUUAUGUAUCCAAAAUUGUUUUCAAAAAUAAUUAUUUCCGCAUAAAGUUUAUGAAAGUUUGGUUAACAUAAACAACAAACCCCACUCAAACAUUCAAACUGUAAUCCAUUAUAGGGACCUCAAAUAUGAGUGGGUUUGAUUUUUAUUUUCUAAAAACCUUAAGAAAUACCAAAAAUAAAAAAUUCAGAUGGUUUUCAAUUGCACUGUGGUGCGCCGAUUGUAAAGAUACUAAUGGUCAUGCCAUCACUGAACCUCUGAGACGGCCAAAUCACUCCAAAAUGUUUAAAAAAAAUUCUCUCUAAUCCCAACCAAGAACUGAAAACAACCAAGAAGUGCUUCAUCCCAACUGUUGAAUUGUCCAACACAACGAAUUCAACAUCGAAUGAACACAAGCACAAGAAGCACAAAGAGCAAUGAGAUGAUACCUUCUAUGCAAAUCUAUUGUAUGAAAGUGUUUUCUCGUGUAACAAUGUGCACAAAUUUGAAGAUGAGGUUUUGUGGAUAUGGAUGACUGAGAUUACACACUUGAUGAUGGAUGAUUUGAUAUUGUGUGAUUUAUUGAUCUACCACACAUCUGAUGUUAUACUAGGGCCUAUUUGCUCUUUGGUUGAGGUUUAUAGAUCUUCACGGAUUUGCAUAAUCAUCUCCACUUACGAGAUGCAUGUCGAGUUGAUGGUAUAUUGUUAUCUUAUCAUGAUUCCCCAAUGGAGUCGCCAUUUUGUGUACAUCGCAUUUUAUGCAUGCGCUCCCAUUCGAUGGUGAACUCGUUUUUUUAUUUGAAAAAGACUUAUUUUUUUAGAAAAAAGACUUGGAGUCGUCACUUAUUUUUGUUUUAUUUUUAAAGUGAAAACAAAAUAAGAAAGAAAACUCUAAGUGUGACUCUUUAUUUGGAAAAGACUGUCUGUGAAAAACCAAAUCAGGGUUCGGGGGUCAGAUUACUUAUUGGGAAGGUACGGUAAAGACCGUAGCACCCCUCUAAGCCCCUAAAAAAUGGGUCUUUACUAAAUAAGUAAAACAAACAUGACAAUUAACUAGGAAAUCAAUGGAUACCAAAAUGGGGUUACUUAGUGGCAAGUAAUAAUGUGUUAUCAUGAAAUGGGGUUAGUGCACAAUAAUGAGUACAAAAUAUAUCACAUGUGUCACUAAACAGAGUAAGAAAUCAUUAAUUGCAAACAUUGCACUUCACGUGAAUUUAGUUUUUAAAGAAAACACUAUUGAUGUUGGGCUCCCACCAAAGCCCGAUAUAUUUUUGCAUGAUUUAAUUCUAUAAAUUCCAGUAUUUGGAAUUUUUGAAUUUAAUUCAUGUUUGUUUUAAAACAUUUAGAAAUCAAGGAAAAUAUGAAAAGAUGCUUGCCGGAAAGAAAAUGAUAGCAAUUUUUUUUUUAAAAUGGGAUUUUUGGUGAUCAUAAACUCUAAAGAAGAAUGAAAGGUUGUGAGUUAAAUUAUUUGAAAACCAGAUUUUUGAAAAUCAAUAUUUGAAGGCAUGUAUAAAAAUGAAUAAAUAAAGGAAGCAAGUGGGCUUUGAAAAUGAACAUAGGAGAAUGACCAUGCAAACCAUGCAAUAGUGGAGUCCUAGGCUUGGGGCGUCACGAACACUGGUUACAUGUUGUUUCUGAAACCCAAUUAAGCAGGAACGAUGGAGACUGCAAGAUGCUGAGUGUACCAAAGAUGGAGAUGGGCAAGAAUUGGUCAUAUGCACACUAAAGUGGCCAUGCGAAUGAGUAGCCUUGUGAACCUAAGCAUCAAUUCUUCCUUGUAAAAGAACCAUGAUUGAAAUUGCAAUAUUUCUAUUUUCAAACACUGGACUGUCACUACUAAUCACCACUACUCCGACCAUGUUUGUUGUUGAAUACGAUGAGGGACUUAGGAAAGAACCUAAGCAUCAAUAGACUCUUUCUCGGCCUCUAUAAGAAACUACAUAAAAUGCAUCUCUAUACCAAAAAAUGGUGGAAUAAAAUCUAUAAUAUUUUCCUUGAAGAAUUUUAGCUUCUUCAUUAUGUAUAUAAUCUAAUUAGAUUGAUCACAUUUUUUUUUUUUAUAAAUAUCAAUCAGAUAUCAUAUUGAAUCCAUUCUUAAUCAUGAAUAUUAUAUUCAUUUAAAUAAUAUUCAAAAGUAUGCUUAGUUUAUAAGUCAAAAGGACUUUUUUUUUUUGUGGAAUUGUGAUAUCUUUAUGGUAAAAUGGCAAGGCGCACAGAAGGGCCAUUUGGGUAAGAUCAAGUUGUUUGGACUGGAGUGCAUGUGGAUCGUACUAAUGUGGUCAAAAUCAAAUCAAAUCCAUGUCCAAAACAUGAUUGAGUGGAAAAGCAAGCAAACUCCAAUGAACCAACGUUUCAUUUGUGAUGGUUAAGAGAUGUGUUAAGAAACAUGAUAUGCAUGUUGAACUCAAAUCCUCUAAAUAUGAGCUUUUAGAAAAAUUGGUAGUUCAACAUGAUAUCAGCAUUUGGUUUGGUGAGAAGGUUUCGUGUUCGAGUUUUGGAUAUGAAUCCAAAUUCUAUUUAUCUCUCCACCAUUUUGGAUAUGAAUCCAAAUUCUAUCUAUCUCUAUUGUGUCUAUCCACCCACUAUUUUGGAUAUAAUAUGAAUCCAAAUUUUGUCUAUCUCUUAACAUGCUUCUAUUUUUCUCUCUACGUGCGAGUAUAAGGUUGCAACAUAGGGGAGCUUAAGCUUGGGUUCAACAAGAUGCUUGGUACACACACCAAUUGUAUCAAGCUAAGUCAAUACAAUCGACAAUCAAUAUAUUAUUGGAUUCUACAAUGGACGACCCUGAUCAAUACAAACCUAGUGAAUCUUAAAUCUUCCCACAUAAGGUGGCUUUUCAUCUAAGUCAUCUAACUGAUUUGAAAGAAGAAUUAAUCUAGAUCAAUUCAUUAAUCAAAAGAUGAUUUGAUACUGAUUUAGGAUUAUUAGAGAUCAUUAAAUUAAGGGUUUAUUACAUUUUACCCUCCUAACCAAUAAUGUGUUUUGCAUAUUACCCCCUCAAGUUUAAAAUCGAGUAAUGUACCUUCCAUGCAUCAUAAUUACAUGCAAUGUGUAUUUUUAGAGUGACGAUGUUACCUUAAUUAGACGAAAGGUUCAUGUACUCUCCACAUGACCUAUUUAAAUGAGGGCAAAAGAGUCAUUUCAUUUUAAAACGCCAAAACCCUGACCCACUCUCCUUUUUCCUUCAUUCAUUCCUUCCCUCAAUCUUCGUUGUUUAUCUCGCCUCUGUUGCCAUUGGCGCCGUUGUGGACCCUUCACCGACCACCCAUUGCACCACCACCUUCCCGUCGUGACUUCACUCUCCUCAAAUCCUACAUUGUCAUUCUCGUAAACAAACGCUAGCCCCAACGCCUCCCUAAAAAGCAUCAUUUUGAUGAUUAACCGCCAGCAAAACCUCGGUCUUGACCUCGCCCUCCGAAUAGUCAACCAUGUCGACAAAUUCCACCCCAAUUUUUCCCACUAUUAGGAAACCUACCUCGUCAUAAUAAAGUUACUAAUUGCUUCAAACUUGCCAAAUCUUGUAUUUUCCAAUUUCUUUAAAUUCUUUUUUUUUUCAUCACGGAAAUUUAAAUGAGAGAAAGGAUUAUAAAUGCUUAAGAAAAGUUUUUAUUUUCAAAUUUUUGUUUCUCAAGCAUUUUCGCUGGAUUUGGCAAGGUUGUCAUUUGAAUUUUGAAUUGAUUUUCCUUUUAGAUUUUUAUAUUAUAUUGUAUUUCAAUCAUUUUUUGUUUGACGAUUUGAAUUUGAUUGUCUUGGAUUGUGAUGGUUUUUCAAUUCGGUGCUUUAACUAUUAGGUAAAACAACUUGUUUGGUUAUGUUUUUUUUUUUUUUUUGUGAAUCUGUCUAUUUUUUAAGAUACUGCAAAUUGUUUGGUAAAACUUGUUUGGUUGUUGAGAAAAUGUGGUUUCUAGAAAAUGAAGGAAGGAAGAAGAAGGAGAGUUGGGUUAGGGUUUUGGGGUUUUAAACUAUAAUGACUCUUUUGCCCUCAUUUAUUAAAAAAAAUACCAUUUUACCCUCGUCCACGCAAAGAGCACAUGUCAUUCUAUAAACAAAUGUAAUGUCGUGACUCAUAAAAUGUACAUUGCAUGCAAUUAUAAAGCUUGGAGGGUACAUUCCUCGAUUUUGAACUCAAGGGGACAAUGUACAAAACACGGUAGAGGUCGGAGGUAAAGUGUAAUAAACCCUUAAAUUAAUUACAAAAGUGUGUGCCUUUUGAUUAGAUUUGUUAAGCAACUGAUGCCCUCGAUUAAUCAAUGCGCGCAGAUGUUCCCAAAUCAGCCAUGUGCAAGACUGACAGUGGGAUGCUUACCUUAGUUUUACUUCUUUCGCAUUAGCAAAACGACUUUUAGACGUCAAAGCCCCUAUAUUUAUAUUAUUUCCCUCUGUCCUGCACAAAUAUUUAUUUUUUAACCUUACCAUUUUGAAGGUUUUUUCACCGUAUUGUGCUCCCCUUUUCAUAUUUUUUUUGCAGGACAUUUUCUAGGGAUAGCAGCAUUAUGGUUUGUCCAAGUUGGCGUUGAAAUCUACCGAUUCUUCUCUUGUAUGAUUAACUUUGAAGAAAAGAUUGAUAGGGUCGAUAAGGCUGAAAGAGUCAAGCUUCUAGGAAAGAAAGUUACGGGUUCUACCGUCAAAUGUGGUGCAUCACUAGUUUUUGCUUCCAUAGCAGUCGGGAUUGGUGCCACCCUUUUCUAUCCUUCAGCUCGUCAGUGGAUUGGUGGGUACAUCUCCUCAUCUACAAGUACCCUAUAAAGCUUUUUGCAUAAUGUCAGUAACAUACAAAAUAUCUGCAAGUAGCUUGCUAAUUUUUAUAGAAUGUAGAAAGGAAAAGAUCUUUGAUCUGUAAAAUUUCCAAUACUUAAAUGUACUUCUCCUGCAGGCUGUGCUGCUGGGGACUUUGGCUGGGCCCAUUAUUGUAUCAAUUUGCUUUGAAAAGGUUCUUCAUGUAGACCUUUAGAAGAGCACACGGGAUAAGUUGUCUGAUGGAUUUUGGCACCUGCUUCAAAUUGUGGGUUUUAAACGAUAGUUGGAAAAAAAACAAUUUAAAAGUGGUAGUUACAAAAUCUAUUAAACUUUUUGUCAGUAUCUCUUUCAUAUUUUUCAUAUUAAUAAUACAUGUUAAAAAAAUUGAGUUUACACUAAAUAUGUCUCCUCAAGAAACACCUACCGUAAUUCCAUAAAAUCGAAAUUAUACUAAAAGGUAUUUUUUUAAGAUAUACUUUUUCAUAAUUUUUUUAUUAAUCAUGCAUGCUAAAACAUUGAAUUUAUAGGUGUCCCUUGAAUAAACACUUUCGUGUUAACCACAUAGAGAAAAAAAAAAUUACACUUAACAUAUAUCCACAAUUCCACAAAAUUGAAUUUAUACAAAAUAUGUUUUUUGAAUAAACACCUUUCACAACUUUUAUAUUAGCCACCCAUCGAAAGUAAUUGAAUUUAUAUCAAGGGUACAUCUUAAAAAGACAUUUUCAGUAUAAAUUUAAUUUCGUGAAAUUAUAGAAAAUGCAUCUUAAAGUAAUAUCUUUAAUGUAAAUUCAAUUUUUUCACUGUAUAACUUAUAUGAAAAUUGAUUUAAUUGUAAUUCAUCGAUAUGUUUUGAUGUUAGUAUAAAAGCCUAUUUGGUAAUGAUUAUAAGAAACGCUUUUAAUUUUUUUAACAUUAUAAAACUUUUAUCUUUUAAGUAUUAAAAAAUCUAAAAACAUUUCUUAGAAAUACUACCAAACACACUCUAAAUUUGAUAGGUUUGCGUUUUCCUUCAUAGAUGAUCUGAACUGGCCAUUGAAUUGUGCCCUCGGUAUAUCCCAUUGUUAAAUGAUGGAUGAUCUGCAAAUAAUCUGAACUGAUUCUAAGCCAUCUUUUUCAGAACAUGAGCUGAUUAACCCCUAGUUUUCUAAUGACUUGUUUUCUUCACAUGUCCUCAUGAUGCUCUACCAUUACUGGAUCCAUGAAGCUGAAGUCACAUUUCAAAUGAUACAAAAUAUGUUACAGAGCAUCAGAUACCGAAUAUCUUUUCACUCGUCUAAAUACUAUUUUACUUGUAGUAUAUGUAUCUAAAGAUCCCAUUGAAAAGAAAAACGUGGGUUUGCUUAAUCAUCAUAAAAAAGGUGGGAUCAAGAAAUGACAUUUCUAUACUCCUGGACAUCCUCUCUGCAACUUCUAUGAUUAAGGAACAAACCCAAGAUGAGCUCAGGUGUCCCAGAUCAUCACAACAGCGAUUACCCCGACACCCAACAACACUGCUAAGAACUUGUAGUUGGGGGUGUCAAAGGGAACUGUCCUCUGGCAAGUGUAUCCCUUGGACAGUAGAUGGUUUAUUGAGACAUAGAUGAAGAUCCCACAUGCUAGCCCCAUUGAUAUGGCGUAUAUCCAGUCAGCCACAGCGCCCUGGGUAGUGGCAUCUAUGACGAUACCAAUGGCCACUCCAACUGGGCUAGAAAUGGCAAAUGCAAAGGCAUAGGCUACACAGGAGAGGAGGGGUCUGUCUGGAAUCAUCCGAAGGAGAGCUAUUCCCAUUGCAAUGGCUGCAAAUAUCUUGUGGAGACAGACCGUCCAUAGAGCUCUCCAAGCGUCAGCUUCGGUCUCUGCAACUCCAAUUGCAAUGCCCUCAAAUACAGAGUGGAAACACAGUGCAAAGAUGAGUAAUAUGUUGUCCCCAAGCGAUGUGGCGGUUCUCAGAGGGGCGUUUACAGAGUGGACCUCUGUGCAAUUCUGAUCCUGUUAAGGGAUAAUAAGUAUUCAUUUAGCUGUCUCAGGCAUUUUAAAACGUUUUUCCUUGUAUUUUCUGAGUGAUAAGAGGAUCAUGGUUUCCUUAUCAUCUUACCUGAGCCAGAGACUCUGAAUUUCCGCCAUUGCUACUGCUUUUUCCUUGCAUAUUUUCUGUAACAAAGGGAAAAUGAAUGAAAGUGAAUCAUAAUACCAUUGUGAAAGAGAGGAGUUCAAAUCCAAGUGAGAGUAGGAUUUUGUCUAAAAAACCCAUCCAAAUACAUUAAAAUGAAAAUUGAAUCGACUUCUCGAUCUCUUAUCAUAUGGCCAAGUGGACUUCUGAGAUUACCAUCUUAUAAAACCUCAACAGUCAACACAUCAUGUUGCGUAAAGAUUUGAAAUUCUAUUCUUUUCUAUCCACCAUCCAUCCAGGAUCCACAAGGUCCAACCGACUUAUUUUGAACUGAAAAAAGGGUCAAUUUUCAACAACAAACAAAAGGGAAAAAUAAAUUCUUCAAAGAAGGAAAAAAAAAAUUCUGAUAAUCUCCAUGUCAGUAACUACUCAACUUAAUCAACUCUGCCUCAGGUUUUUUCCAAAGCACCAACUAAAUUCCAGAAAGAAAGAAAAUUAACAAAAGAAAGCCCAGCAAAAAUUUCAUAACUUUCUUUUCUUUUUCUUCUGGCUUCACGGCAAUCAAAGUCAUAUCUAAAGAAGCUUCGCCCAAAAGGGUGAGCUUUUCAUAGCUUUCCUCCGUUUCUUCAGCUGAGAAACAGAGUAAGGAUUUAAAUAUCGAAGUUGAAAACGCUCACUAAACUCAUUUGCAAUUUCCCUGCUUUAAGCUUUCUCUUCUUCUACUCUAUUUUCUCGGCAGUCAAACGGAGUAACAAUCAAGGCUAUCAAGCACCAGAAAAGAAAAAGAAAAAAAUAAAAUAAAUUCAAAUCACCAAAUCAGUACUGUCUACACUAAAUUGAGUUUCUUAUCUCUUACUUUCCUUAUCUUCUACGGGAAGAUAAAAUAAUAAAAUAAAAAAUAAAAAAUAAAAAAUUAAUAAAAAAAUUCAAAGGCUCAAAGAACCAACCUUGAAGCUCGACAUCUCCAUCGCCACCAUUCGCCCCCUUUCCAUACACAUAGGAAACCAAACAAUCGGCGAACAUCGUCAUCAAAUACCCCGCACACGCCAGCAUGAACGCGAACGGAUACUCCACGCUCGUCAAAUCCCCAAACGUCUCAUUCGAGUCGCUCAGAAAAUGCAUCAUCGCCGUCCCUAGAAACACUCCGCCGGCGAACUGCGUUCCCAGCACUAGAAACGUCUCGUUCCACUUCAAGAAGUAAGGCGACACGCCGCCGAUGAACGUCCCGACAAACACCAGAAUCAGACAGUAGAUCUUCACCAGAAUCAGUGGUUUCGCCCUCAAGUCAACGCUGUCCGACGACGGCGCGUCACCAUCAUCAUCAUCGGCAUGAUCGCCGCCAUGGGCUGCGGCGACGGCUGCGAGGACGAGGAGGAGAAGAGAGAGGGAGAGGAGAGAGCGAGACAUAGAAAACGGUGGGAUGAAGAAGGAAACAUUUGAGUAAUUAUGUAGGGUUUCAAUAUUCCUAUAUAUCUAUAUUAGAGGGUUGAUUGUUCACCACAGACACAAAUGUGAAUGAGCGAGUACUGCACCAAGAAGUCAUGAAUGUGAGAGACAUACAGCUACGAACUACGAUAAUGAUAAUGACUGAUCAUUUACAGCGCUUGUUUCGCAACCAAGCUUCCUUACUGCUUUGUGGGACUCUUCUUGGGGUCUUUCAAUGAAAAGGAUUUAAUGUUUUUUGUUUUUUUUUUUUAAUAAAAAUGUUUAAAAAUUUAAAAUAUUUUUAAUCUAUUCUUAAUAUUUUAAAAUAUGUUGUAAAAAUAAUUUUUAUAUUUAUUUUUAAUUAUUUUGUAUAAUUAUUUCUUAAAAUAACUUUUAAAAAACAAUAUAAGACAAUUAAAUGAUAUUAUUUGAAAAUAUCCUUUUUUUUUUUUUGUUCUUAAUAAUAAAAAAAUAUGUUAUCAAACAUGUAAUUUUGCAUUUUUUUAGAAUAAAAAAUUAUUCUAAAAACAGUUACCAAACAAAUCCUAAGAUUUGAAAAAGAAUAAUUUAUUUUUAUUUAAAAUAGUUUUAUUGUCUUUUUAAGACAAUUUAAAUAAGUAAAAUUGUUAAAUAUUUUAACAUACCAUUCUAAAUUAUUUUUCUUAAAAUUGAAAGUAUUGUAACUAUUUUUCUUAGACUUGGAAGUAAAUUAUUUCAAAAUUUAUGAUAAAACGUAUUAUUGGGUGAUUUAAAUAGUUUUAUUGUCCUUUUUUCUGCAUUUUAAAUAUAAGUAUGGUUGUCCAUUAUUUUAUGUAUUAGGUGGUAUGUUGAAUUUAAAGAUGAUUCUAAAUUUUUCUUAGACUUGAAUGUAUUGUAGAGUAUUUUUUUCUUCGGUCAUCAAAGUGAAUAUGUCGAAAUUAUAUAAUAAAAUUUGAAUCAUUGGAUUAUUUAAAUAGUUGUAUCGUCUUUUUUGAAUAUUUUAAAUAUGUACGAUUGUGUUUUUCUUCGUACAUUGAAUUUUAAAAUGACCGUAAACUAUUUUUCUCACCUUGAAAAGGAAUAUGUUCAAAAUAUAUGAUAAAAUCUAAAUCACUAAAUGAAAAUACAAAUUAUAAAAUCAAGAUAAAACAACAUUAGUGCCUAGAGAUCUCCAUCCUAGCCUUUACGUUUGAGAUCUCCACCAUCAUUGCCUAAAGACAAGAAAAAGUCAUCGGAUGAGAUAUGAUGAUGUUUACAAGAUCAUUUAUGACUUUGGAGUUAUCUACAUCGAGUGAAAUUGAUUUGGGAACAUCCCGAUCAAAGGUAUGUGAUUUUAAUUCUCUAUAUCUAUGUUUUUGUGGUAUCCUUAUUAUUUUUUAAUAUCUGUUUAUCUGCUACGAUAGAUUUAAAGAGCUUAAAAUAGAUUUACAUGAUUGAAGUCAUAGGAACAGGGUAAUCUAAGGUUCUUAACAAGAAGACCUCACCCAUCACCUUGGCCAAUUGAGUGGACAAAUUCUUUACAUGAUCCUUCAAGUCCUGGGGGUCAAGGCGGGACGACGUAAGGUGAUCAGUGGAUUGGUAAGUACCCGAUAAUGCUUUUUGCAUAAUAUCAGUAACAACAAAAUCUCCGAAAGUAGCUUGCUAAUUUUUAUGGAAUGUAAAAAGGAAAAGAUCUCUCGUAUAUAAAAUUUCCAAUACUAAAAUGUACUUUUCUCGCGGGCUGUGCUGCUGGGGACUUGGCUGGGCCCAUUAUUGUAUCAAUUUGCUUUGAAAAGGUUCUUCAUGCAUACCUUUAGAAGAGCACAUGGGAUAAGCUAUCUGAUGGAUUCUUGGCACCUGCUUCGAAUUUGUUUACUACCCGAAUUUUUAAAGGAUCUGCCGCUUACAUUUAUGCAUAAACCAUAAUUGAUCACAAAUCACUUAAAUCUGGUGUUAGGCCAAAAUCGACCCAGCUACCCAUUCACCAAAUUUUCCUUCCUGGGAGACUACCAUUCCCUUAGGUCACGAUUGUCAUGGUCUCCAAGAAUAAUCAGAACUGGUAUUAAUUGAUUUAAUUGCAAUCGAUUGAUAUGUUUUGCUGGUAGCGUAAGUUUCAUAGGACUGCAUUUCCUUAUACAGAAGAUGUAUGAUCUGAACUGGCCAUUGAGUUGUGCCAAAGGUACAUCCCAUUGUUAAAUAAUGGAUUCGGCAAAUAGUUUGAACUAAUUCUAAGCCAUCGCUUGUCCACAUGAUGCUCUACCAUCACUGGAUCCAUGAAGAUGAAGUCACAUUUCACAUAAUACAAAAUAUGUUACAGAGCAUUGCGGAGCCGGUAUCAGAAUAUUUUGCCCUCCAUUUUCUCAUCAGAUACCCAAUAUCAUUUCACUUGUCUAAAUACUAUUUUACUUAUGGUAUAUGCGUCUAGAGAUCCCAUUGAAAAGAAAAAAGUGGGUUUGUUUAAUAAUCAUAAACGAGGUGGGAUCAAGAAGUAAUAUUUCUAAGCUCCUUCCUCUGUACUCUUGGCUAUCCUCCCUGCAGCUUCUAUGAUUGAAGGAAAACAUUUCAAGAUGAGCUCAGGUGUCCCAGAUCAUCACAACCGCGAUUACCCCGAUGCCCAACAACACUGCUAAGAACUUGUAGUUGGGGGUGUCAAAGGGAACUGUUCUCUGGCAAGUGUAUCCCUUGGACAAUAGAUGGUUUAUUGAGACAUAUAUGAAGAUCC
rnacentral:lncRNA from 1 species